AUGCACAAAGAAACUCAACUCGAGCACGAACUCGGAGCAAUGGCGACGAACAUCGCGGCCGGCGAACCGGCCUAUAUCUUGGCAACCUUUAUUCACGGGUUUGACAGCACUCAAGCCGUACGUCCUCCUGCUUGGGCUCAACCUCCCGCUGUGCGUCCGCACCGGCAUCACCAAGCUUCCCAGCCGCGUCAGCGUCGGCUCCGAGGAUGUCCCGAUUUGGCCACCGGAGAGGAUUGGUUCGAUUGGUUCAAAGGAGUAGGACACAGUUCAUACGAUGCAGCCAGGCCCUGCAUUUGUUGGUGCAUCUUGAUGUCUACCAUUUGA
rnacentral:rRNA from 1 species